ensembl:lncRNA
CUUCUGAGUGCUGACAUCAUCAGCUUGCACUAUCACAUCUAGUGGGUAUAUUAUUUUAUGCUAUCUUCACAUCAGCUCUGAGAUGCACUAUCACUAACAUUUGAAAAUGAUGUUUUAAUAUGUAGUACAAUGAUAGUCAACCCAAACAUCCUAACUGUUCUUCUCCAUGUUUCUCUAGGAAGCUGUAAUGCUGACUAUUCAGAGGGACAAAAGACUGGCUUGAGCCAAGGACAAAGCUGAGAGCCAGAAACGUGCUGACCUCUGUCCUUGUUCCACCUUUGGCAUAGUAUCUGUUGCCUUACUUGUCUCUGCCUCUCGUAAAAUGCCUUUCACUUUCUGUCUAGGCUGAAGCUAAACUGAAACUAUGGCUUUACGGAAAUUAAGCUCCUAAACUCUCUUGCUCAAAUAUAAAUGAAGUAGCUUCCCUGCCAAAGCCUUGUCUGUUGUACCCCUAGAACCUUCCAGAAUACUCCCCCCCUCUACCCUCCAGCUGGGAGGUCUGGCCACUUUAGCCCUUCAUAUCAUACUGCCUUGAGUAAAUGUCCAAAUCCUCAUACCUCAAAGUCAUUUGGUAUUCUUAGUGUGCAGCUUAAACCUAAACAUUCUACUAAUAGGACAGCAGACAUCUUGCUUCCCAUCCCCACUCAGAAAGAACUUUUUGAGUCAAUUGAAAGCAAGACUAACUUCUCAAAAGCACACGGGACCAUCUCAAGAUGACCAUUUCCCCUUAUAAUGACAUUUCUCCUUUAAUUGUGUCAUUUACCAAUCCUGCCCCCAAGAGGUGCUUACAGUAGACUUGAAGAGGAGGAAAUUCUAUCUCCAAACAUAAGGCAUUAUUCAAAGCUUAUAAAACAAUUAAUUUCUCCCUGGGGCCUCAAAUUGUUUUCAUUCCAGACAUUUUGCAGCUGUUUGACCCUGGUGACCUUAUGGCCUGAAUUUUCCUUGAUGAUCCUAGUUUCAUAUCAUGUGAUUUUUUUCUCAAUAAAGAUGAUUAUUGUGUGCAUUACUUAAAAAAAAAAGGUAUAAUUUCUCUUCAUUCUGAUGAUUUCUCCCAGGACCUGGGCCAUUCCACUUUCAAUCUCCUGCUAUUUUAAAUGAGAUAAUAGAGCUGUUUUUUUCUCCCUGUCUUUGUCUCCCAUGCUUUUUGGUUUUUCGACACAGGAUUUCUCUGUGUAGCUUUGGAGCCUAUUCUGGCACUCGCUCUGGAGACCAGGCUGGUUCCGAACUCACAAAGAUCUGCCUGCCUCUGCCUUCGGAGUUCUGGGAUUAAAGGUGUGCGCCACCGACACCUGGCCUCUCCCAUGCUUUUUUCAGUCCAUUUUGCUCCUGGGUUUGAAUAAACAAAUCCAGGAACAGAUCUUUACCAGGAACAAAUUUUUAUGGGUCAAAAGGCAUUAAAUGACUCACAGAUCUUGUUAGUUCAAUGUCUAAACUUCUGAAGGUACACCAUCCUCAUCCUUCAUUUGGAUGGAGAGCCAUUCUCUUAAAGUUCUGAAGAGCAAUUUAACACAGGAGAGGAACUGGAUUCAGCUCGACUUCGAAGGACUAUAUUCAGAAAGCUAAAUGUAAUUGUACCAAACACACUGAGUCCUGACUGGAGGUUGUGUUAUGCCUUAUUCACCUAAUCGGAAAACUUCCUUGAAGCAGCAAUCAUCUAGUGACUAAGACAAAAAUAAACGAGAGGAGAAAGGGUGAUGGACAAAUGUUUGAAAAUCUGCCUGCAAUAUUUUCCUCAUAACCUUGGAAACCUAUGCAGUACGCUGUCCUUUUCAGUCUUUUUGAUAAUCAGGAUUGAAGAGUUUGUUCUUGCUGAACCCUUUAGUUUAGUUUAAAUUGAGUAUUUUUUUUUUAAAUGUUAUCUCUUGAGCCUUAAUGCUCAGGUCUUGUGGGUGUUAAUACAAUCUUAUGUUUCGGUGGAAGAAGAUGACUGCUCAAGGUUUAAACAAGAAGCUGGUCUUGUGAGCCCCUGUUGAUUAGCCCCAAAUGAUCCAAGCUGAAUUCCUGUGGGUUUCUGUUUAAUGCUAAUCAUUAAUUAUCUACGGCAUGUGUUUUUUUUUUUCCUGUCUAACUUCCUAUUCAGUCAUUAUAAACAGAGACUUGAAAUCAUACUUUAAAAUUCCAAAUACCUAAAGAUGUGCUAAACUGGAGGUAACUAUUUCUAGAUGGCCGAACUUUUGAAAACGAUGAUCAGCUACACACCCGUUUUGUAUGUACCUGUCUUCUUGUGCACGUUUCUGUAUGCAAAUAAAGCUAUACAUUUACUCAUUCAAUAAACUGGAAUGACAAAAAUCUCA